rnacentral:rRNA from 1 species
GUGCCAGCACGCCUUCGGUAAUUCCAGCUCCGAUAGCGUAUAUUAAAGGUGUUGUGGUUAAAAAGCUCGUAGUUGAACCUUGGGCCUGGCUGGCCGGUCCGCCUCACCGCGUGCACUGGUCCGGCCGGGCCUUUCCCUCUGUGGAACCCCAUACCCUUCACUGGGCGUGGCGGGGAAACAGGACAUUUACUUUGAAAAAAUUAGAGUGCUCCAGGCAGGCCUAUGCUCGAAUACAUUAGCAUGGAAUAAUAAAAUAGGACGCGCGGUUCUAUUUUGUUGGUUUAUAGGACCGCCGUAAUGAUUAAUAGGGACAGUCGGGGGCAUCAGUAUUCAACUGUCAGAGGUGAAAUUCUUGGAUCAGUUGAAGACUAACUACUGCGAAAGCAUUUGCCAAGGAUGUUUUUCAUUAUUCAGGAACGAAAGUUAGAGGGAUCGAAGACGAUCAUAUACCGUCGUAGUCUUUACCAUAAACUAUGCCGACUAGGGAUCGGACAGGUGUUAUUUAUGACCCGUUUCGGCACCUUACAGAGAAAAACAAAAGAGCUUGG